UCCCUGAUAGCUCAGCUGGUAAAGAAUCCUCCUGCAAUGUGGGACACCUGGGUUCAAUCCCUGGUUUGGGAA
rnacentral:tRNA from 1 species